UUUCUGCUGAGGGUGGCUGGUCCGCCCUCUGGGUGAGUAUUUGGCACAGCCUGAGCAUUUAUCUUGAAAGCACAACUGCACUUGACUGUGUGGUGUGUUAUUGAGAACAUUUACUUUGAGGAAAUCAGAGUGUUUCAAGCAGGUGUUUGGCCUUGAAUACAUUAGCAUGGAAUAAUACUCAAGACCAUGGUUCUUUUUUGUUGGUUUCUAGAAUCGAGGUAAUGAUUAAUAGGGAUAGUUGGGGGCAUUCGUAUUUGAUU
rnacentral:rRNA from 1 species